rnacentral:rRNA from 1 species
GAUGAACGCUGGCGGCGUGCCUAAUACAUGCAAGUCGAGCGAACAGACGAGAAGCUUGCUUCUCUGAUGUUAGCGGCGGACGGGUGAGUAACACGUGGAUAACCUACCUAUAAGACUGGGAUAACUUCGGGAAACCGGAGCUAAUACCGGAUAAUAUUUUGAACCGCAUGGUUCAAAAGUGAAAGACGGUUUUGCUGUCACUUAUAGAUGGAUCCGCGCUGCAUUAGCUAGUUGGUAAGUUAACGGCUUACCAAGGCGACGAUGCGUAGCCGACCUGAGAGGGUGAUCGGCCACACUGGAACUGAGACACGGUCCAGACUCCUACGGGAGGCAGCAGUAGGGAAUCUUCCGCAAUGGGCGAAAGCCUGACGGAGCAACGCCGCGUGAGUGAUGAAGGUCUUCGGAUCGUAAAACUCUGUUAUUAGGGAAGAACAUAUGUGUAAGUAACUGUGCACAUCUUGACGGUACCUAAUCAGAAAGCCACGGCUAACUACGUG